rnacentral:ncRNA from 1 species
GAGUUUGAUCCUGGCUCAGAAUAAAUGCUAUCGGUAUGCUUAACACAUGCAAGUUGAAUGUUUUUAAAACAUGGCGAACGGGUGAGUAACACGUGAAUUAUCUACCUUUUAAUUCGGAAUAAUUAUUUAUAUAAAAAUUCGGAAUAAAUAUAUUAAAGUUUUUUAACGUUAAAAGAUGAGUUUGCGCAAGAUUAUGGUAGUUGGUAGUUUAAAAGACUACCAAGCCUAUUAUCUUUAGCUGGUUUGAAAGAAUGAUCAGCCACAUUGGGACUGAGACACGGCCCAAACUUUUUUAAAGGCAGCAGUGGGGAAUUUUGGACAAUGAGCGAAAGCUUGAUCCAGCAAUACCGAGUGAGUGAUGACGGCUAAUUAGGUUGUAAAGCUCUUUCAUUAAGGAGGAAAAUGACAGUACUUAAAAAAGAAGUUCCGGCUAAUACCCGUGCCAGCAGCCGCGGUAAUACGGGAGGAGCGAGCAUUAUUCGGAAUGAUUAGGCGUAAAGGGUUUGUAGGUGGUUUUUUAAGUUNAAAGAAACAAAUUAAAGCUCAACUUUAUACAUUUUUUCAAAACUAAUAAACUGGAGUAUAAAUAGAGGAUAAUGGAAUUUCUAUUGGAGUGAUAAAAUACGUUGAUAAUAGAAGGAAGAUCUAUGGCGAAGGCAAUUAUCUGGGUAUAUACUGACACUGAGAAACGAAAGCUUGGGUAGCGAACGGGAUUAGAUACCCCGGUAGUCCAUGNUGUAAACGAUGAGUGCUAAUAUUUAGAAUUUUUAGAUAUAACAGCUAACGCGUUAAGCACUCCGCC